AGAGCGAACGCUGGCGGCAGGCCUAACACAUGCAAGUCGAGCGCCGUAGCAAUACGGAGCGGCAGACGGGAGAGUAACACGUGGGAACGUGCCCUUUGGUUCGGAACAACACAGGGAAACUUGUGCUAAUACCGGAUAAGCCCUUACGGGGAAAGAUUUAUCGCCAAAGGAUCGGCCCGCGUCUGAUUAGCUAGUUGGUGAGGUAACGGCUCACCAAGGCGACGAUCAGUAGCUGGUCUGAGAGGAUGAUCAGCCUCACUGGGACUGAGACACGGCCCAGACUCCUACGGGAGGCAGCAGUGGGAAUAUUGGACAAUGGGCGCAAGCCUGAUCCAGCCAUGCCGCGUGGAUGAUGAAGGCCCUAGGGUUGUAAAGUCCUUUCGGCGGGGAAGAUAAUGACGGUACCGCAGAAGAAGCCCGGCUAACUCGCGCCAGCAGCCGC
rnacentral:rRNA from 1 species